rnacentral:lncRNA from 1 species
AGUUAAGCACUUAUUGCUAUUGGAGCACUUGGUUCAAGUUCCCAGCACCCAUACGGUGACUCACAACCAUCUGUAACUCCAGUUGUAGGGGAUGCCCUCUUCUACUCCACAGACACCAGGCAUGUACCAGGUAAACAUACAUACCUGAAAGCAAAAUAUUCAUACACAUAAAUUUAAAAAAUCUAUAAAAUAAAAACAAAGAAAUGAAAAAUAAAUUAUUAGUUGAGAAAGUUUCCAGAAAAUGUGGGUUGUCUUGUUUUGAGACAGUCUCUUGCUAUGUAGGCCAGGUUGGUGUGGAACUUACUCUGUAGAUUAGAGUAGCCUUGAACUCUGCAGAUCCACCUUCUCAGUCUCUUAAAUGCUGGAAUUAGGGAAAGGGAUGUAGAAGACUGAAAAAGACAGGUAUUCACUCACUAUGUGAAAGUGGGUGUCACCCCUCCCUGUAAGCAGCCUAGUUAAAGAAGCAGGCAAGUGUUUAUAACAGCCAAGUUCUGCAGAAAGGAUAAUGAGAACAAAAUGGGCUCUUUUGACAUCAAGAGAAUUACCAUCCCAAACUCUCCAGAAAUCUCUUAUUCUGGUCUGGAUAAAAGUCAUGGCUUAGUCACUGAGCACUUGCCUGACAGCUCAAGCUCCUGGGUUUGGUCCCAGUACCAAAUAACAAAUGUUAAAUAAAACUCAGUGGUCUUCUGCAUUUAUUUCUCGGCUUUGCUUUAAUUGGAAAACAUGUGAAAUCCAAGUGUGGCUAUGGUGAACUGUGAUUCUCCAAAGAUGAGUUAGUUCCCUAACUCUAGCACCAUAAUGUCAACUCUCUUAGGAACAGGGUCUCAAGAUAUUUAGUCAAACAGAGGUUGUUCGGUAGGUAGUAUUCCAAUAAGACCAGUGUCCUUAGAAGAGUGUUAGACACUCAACCCAGAACUCUUUUUAAUAUUUAUUUAGCCUUCAGCACCUGGUAUUCCCAGGUGGUCUCCCAUCCAAGUACUAACCAGGCCCGACCUUGCUUAGCUUCCAAGAUCACACGAGAUGGGGCACGUUCAGGGUGGUAAAGCCAUAGACAACCCCAGAACUCUUAAGGCUGAGGUAGGACGACUGCUGGGACUUUGAGGCCUACCUGGGUUACAGUUUGAGAAUCUAUCACAGGCCAAAUGAACAAGAUAAAUGUCAUGUGAUAACAGAGGCAGAGAGCAGGGUAUGGCACCAGGCCAAGGAACAACAGACAUGCACAGCCACUACAAGAACAAGAAGCAAAGAAGGUACCCAGAGUCUUGGAAAAGCACGCUUUACUGAUGCUUUGACUUAAGAGUCAUAUCUCCCAAAUCUAUACAUCAAUCAACUUCUCUUCUUUUUCUUUUUUUUGGGGGGAGGGAGGGAGGAGUUGUUUUUGUUUUCUAUUUUUGUUGUUAUUUUGUUGGGUUUUUUGUUUGUUUUUUGAGACAGGGUCUUCUCUCUAUUCUAUUGCCUGUGCUGUCCUAGAACCUACUAUGUAUACCACAUUGGCCUUGAGCUCAUAGAGAUCCACCUUCUCUGUCUCCCAAAUAUUGGGAUUAAAAGCAUGCCAUCACACGUGGCUCAAUUUCUGUAUUUUAAACUGCCUGGCUUGCAUUCCUAGGAAAAUAAUCCACAUGGUCCCCCUAGCAGUUUUAGUUUGAUAAUGUUAUUAGCACACACCAUUUACUUCUCCUUCUCCUGAAGAAGCCGCAUUGCCGUCCUCUGGCCUCUGCUCCGGCAGAGAAGGAACUUCUGCUGUAUCCCUGGGGUCUUGAUUUUCCUGAUUUUCUUGAUUUUGGAAGUUACUACUAUCAGUUCCUUUCAUCUCCAAAUGAUCCUGCAACAAAGUCUGAAAGGAAGAAAACCAAGAGACUAACCAAGGGAGUAUGAAAAAAAAGGGGUGUGAGUGUUGUAGGGGUUGGUCAGAGGAACAAGAUGGGGUUAAGGCUUCUGAGCAUGUGUGACCCAGUGCUCCAAAUUAUAAUUUCCAAGCAGGCACUAGAGGUCACUAGGAAGAAUGGAAAGAUUUGUUCGCUUAUGGAUAAUAGACCCAGAUUCCUGACCCGUGGGGUCAUGCCACUAAACACUACACACAGUGGCAAGAGCCUGGCAAUAGUGAACAGUCUCUGGACAGGAAGUAUCCCGUUUUGAUCCAAGACCAAAUUCGAAGUGAACCUAUGAAUUGCCAGGACCCUCAUGGUGGAAGGGGAAACCAAGUUCAUUGAGUUGUCUUCUGGCUUCCUACAUGACAGCCAUGGCAUGUACCCCAGCCCCCCACACCCCUCCCAGCAAACACACAAUGUUUUUAAUGUAAUUGAGGGGCUAAAGAGAUGGCAUAAUGGUUAAGCAGAAGCCUUGAGUUUGAUUACUGGCAUCACAUGGCAGGUCACCAUCUUUAACUCCAAUUCCAGGGAAUCCAAUGCCCUCUCUAGCCUCCCAGGGCACAUGAUACGUGACAUACAUGUUGGCCAAAUACUCAUCACAUAAAAUAAAAUGAAAAAAAAAUAUUUUUUGGGGAUUUUUUGUUUUUGUUUUUUGUUUGUUUUUUUGAGACAGGGUUUCUCUGUGUAUCUCUGGCUGUCCUGGAACUCACUCUGUAGACCAGGCUGGCCUCGAACUUAGAAAUCUGCCUGCCUCUGCCUCCCAAGUGCUGGGAUUAAAGGCGUGAGCCACCAUGCUCGGCAUAAAAUGAAAAAAUUAAAUUUAAAAAAAUUAUUAAGGCUGAGCAUAGUGGCAUACACAUUUAAUCUCAGCCACACAACAAAUGAGGAAGCAGAAACAGGUGGAUUUCUAAGAUUUAGUUCAAGGCUAGCCUGUUCUACAAAAUGAGUUCCAGAACAGCAAUGGCUACAUAAUGAAACCCUGCCCCACUCAAAAAAUAAAAAAAUAAAAUAAAGGGGGUAAUUAAGAAAAAACAAUUUAGCUAGGCAGUGGUGGCACACGCCAGCCUGGUCUACAGAGUGAGUUCCAGGACAGCCAUGGCUAUAUAGAGAAACUCUUGUCUCAGGAAAGAAAAGAAAAGAAAAAAAGAAAAAGUUAUUUAAAAUUUUAUUCUUUUUAAUUCAAAAAAAAAAAAAAAGAAAUGAG